rnacentral:lncRNA from 1 species
GGCCAAAUAAAUGUAGUUACAAUCCCAUGUUUACUCUGUGUCCUACAGCUUAAAAACGCACAUCCAGAGGAGAGGACAGCAUAGGUUUGUGCUCUGCAAACACUUCAGCAUUGCUGCAGUCGUUCAGAGUAAGCUGUGCAUUUGAUGCCACUGGGGCAUGCCUUUGCCCACCCCAGCAGCACAGUGCGGCCUUGCCAGCAUGGCUGGUUGCCAAAGAGACUGGGUUUGGGACAGCAGAAGCAGAGAGAAAUGGAAAUCCCAGUCAGAAAUACGGGAUUCCUAUUGAAGAUCUGCAUUGAAACAGGACAGCCAGUGGAGGAAGCCUUUGGGAGGAAGUGGAGGAGGCCACACUGUUGACAGACCAUUGUGCAAGACAGAAGGGAACUCAAACUCCUUUGUAAGGAGACCAA